rnacentral:rRNA from 1 species
GACGAACGCUGGCGGCGUGCUUAACACAUGCAAGUCGAACGGAAAGGCCCUGCUUUUGUGGGGUGCUCGAGUGGCGAACGGGUGAGUAACACGUGAGUAACCUGCCCUUGACUUUGGGAUAACUUCAGGAAACUGGGGCUAAUACCGGAUAGGAGCUCCUGCUGCAUGGUGGGGGUUGGAAAGUUUCGGCGGUUGGGGAUGGACUCGCGGCUUAUCAGCUUGUUGGUGGGGUAGUGGCUUACCAAGGCUUUGACGGGUAGCCGGCCUGAGAGGGUGACCGGCCACACUGGAGCUGAGACACGGGCCAGACGGCUAAGGGAGGCAGCAGUAGGGAAUCUUCCGAAAUGGGCGAAAGGUUGACGGAGAGACGCCGCGUGAGUGAUGAAGGGCUUCGGGUCGGAAAACGCGGUUAUUAGGGAAGAACAAAUGUGUAAGUAACUAGGCACGGCGUGACGGUACCUAAUCAGAAAGCCACGGCUAACUACGUG